GGCCAUCGGUCGGGCUCCGGUGCCGGGUGCAGCGGGGUGGCGACCGGCCGACGCUGGUUGCCCCUGCCACCUAUCGGUCGGAUGCAGAAGUACGGUGUCGUCUGCCGGCCGCCUUCCUGCAAACACUGCGCUAUUCGGAUCAGGUCGAGCCCUGGACCAUCCAGGUGUCUUACAACGGUAUGAACUGGAGCAAGUCGAUUGACCUGACCUUGUACAACGGCGCUUGCCUGCUCUGCCGCGCCGGACAGACCAACGUCACGUGCCGCGCGGCAGACGGCUGCUGCGUUAUCGCCGGUCGCUGUUACCGAUCCGGAGAUACGAACCCGAAGGACCCGUGCCUCUACUGCGGCUCCAGUCGGAGUCGGUGGACGGCCAGAGACGGUGCUGACUGCGCCGCCCCCAGCCCACCAGUCACGUGC